UUCAGGAAUGUAGCUAAUGAGAGUGAAGAAUUUCGGUCAUGUUAAUUUCAGGAUUAAUCUUCAAUUAUAGUCCAAGGCUAAGUGAGCAGGAAGGCUGGAAUGAGCAAGCAGCCUUUCCCUGGAACAAUUGGCACUCAACAUGAUCAACUAAAUCAAUAAAAUAUAUGAACUACAAAAGCAUGGAAACAGAAUCCUGGAAUAACUCAAUAGG